rnacentral:rRNA from 1 species
GCCGGAAUUGCUAGUAAUGGCAGGUCAGCAUACUGCCGUGAAUACGUUCCCGGGCCUUGUACACACCGCCCGUCACACCAUGAGAGUUGGAAAUACCCGAAGCCUGUGAGCUAACUUAAGGGAGGCAGCAGUCGAAGGUAGAGCCAAUGAUUGGGGUGAAGUCGUAACAAGGUACC